UACGUAGGGUGCGAGCGUUGUCCGGAAUUAUUGGGCGUAAAGAGCUUGUAGGCGGUUUGUCGCGUCUGCUGUGAAAGCCCGGGGCUUAACUCCGGGUCUGCAGUGGGUACGGGCAGGCUAGAGUGUGGUAGGGGAGACUGGAAUUCCUGGUGUAGCGGUGAAAUGCGCAGAUAUCAGGAGGAACACCGAUGGCGAAGGCAGGUCUCUGGGCAUUAACUGACGCUGAGGAGCGAAAGCAUGGGGAGCGAACAGG
rnacentral:rRNA from 1 species